GCUUCGAAACCUCGGCACGUCUCGUAGCAUCACUACUGAGGAGAGAGACUCGCACAGCGGGCCUUGACCUAACCAAGGCAAACUGGACCCUGCGUGUUGUCACUGACAAGAGCAAAACCGAGGGCAUCGAGGUGAAGAAAGACACGGAGAGAAUGGACCAGAUUAAAGCCAUUAAAAAGUCCUGGGAAACGGCUGAGCCAGGACGCGCUGCCAAGGCUUUAGAGUGUCGUCUCAAGUUUCUCAACCGAGUCCAGCAUAAAGCCACUGAUGGAGCUGCUGCCGACGAAAGCAAAGAACCGGGUGUUCUGCAGAUCCAGAUACCUCUCUGUCCAUCUGAUCAGAAACUGAGUGACACCACCAGCUCCUGUCCUCACAUGGACUUCAGUCACCUCAUCAGACGCCAGAAGGAUUUGCCAGUGCUGAUGGACUCACAGAGGGAGCGCUUAGAAGAGAUCCAGGCCUACCGGCUGCUGCAAGGCAAUGUGCUGGAGCAACGUAAACAGCAAGCACUGAAGAGGAAGGAGCUAAUAAGACUUCAGAAGGAGAUGUAUGAGAACAUCAAGCACCGGGAUCAGAAAUUACUUGAUUCUUACAAAGCAUUUUGUAGCAGUCACAUGGUGGCCAUGAAAAAGGAAGAAGAGAAAGAAGCUCAGGAGGAGGCCGGAGCAGCAGAUUAGUAGGCUUUAAUGUGUGUUAAAGUGCAAUUUAUCUGCAGUUUAGUUUAGUGCUUAGAAUGGAUUGUGAUUUUAUGAUAUGCAUUGUGGACAAUAAAUAUUAACAUUUAUACA
ensembl:lncRNA